GUGUAGCUCAGUUGGUAGAGCGUUCGGCUCUUAACCGAAUGGUCCAGGGUUCAAGUCCCUGCA
rnacentral:tRNA from 1 species